AUUGAACGCUGGCGGCAGGCCUAACACAUGCAAGUCGAGCGGAUGAAGGGAGCUUGCUCCUGGAUUCAGCGGCGGACGGGUGAGUAAUGCCUAGGAAUCUGCCUGGUAGUGGGGGAUAACGUCCGGAAACGGGCGCUAAUACCGCAUACGUCCUGAGGGAGAAAGUGGGGGAUCUUCGGACCUCACGCUAUCAGAUGAGCCUAGGUCGGAUUAGCUAGUUGGUGGGGUAAAGGCCUACCAAGGCGACGAUCCGUAACUGGUCUGAGAGGAUGAUCAGUCACACUGGAACUGAGACACGGUCCAGACUCCUAGGGGAGGCAGCAGUGGGGAAUAUUGGACAAUGGGCGAAAGCCUGAUCCAGCCAGGCCGCGUGUGUGAAGAAGGUCUUCGGAUUGUAAAGCACUUUAAGUUGGGAGGAAGGGCAGUAAGUUAAUACCUUGCUGUUUUGACGUUACCAACAGAAUAAGCACCGGCUAACUUCGU
rnacentral:rRNA from 1 species